GAAGAGGCUGAAGAAGGCGCAGAAGAAGCACAAGAGCGGGAAGCGCUCUUCGUCAUCGUCAUCAUCCUCCUCCAGCGACUCCGACUGAGGUCGGCGCCGCUGCCGGGGCCACCCGGGGCCCCCCGUGUCCAGCCUUGUCCUCGUGGGGCCACCCGUGACCACCUGAGACCACCCGUGUCCACCCAAGCCCACCCACGUGUCCUGAACCUCCCGUGAGCACCUGCGACCACCCACGUACCCGGGGCCACCUGGGACCACCCGGGACCAUCCGCGUCCAACCUUGUCCUCGUGGGGCCACCCGUGACCACCUGGGACCACCCGUGUCCCCCCCGAGCUCUCCCGUCUUCACCUGCGACCGCCCAUGUGUCCAAGACCGCCCGUGACCA